AUUGAACGCUGGCGGCAGGCCUAACACGUGCAAGUCGAACGGUAACAGGAAGCAGCUUGCUGCUUUGCUGACGAGUGGCGGACGGGUGAGUAAUGUCUGGGAAACUGCCUGAUGGAGGGGGAUAACUACUGGAAACGGUAGCUAAUACCGCAUAACGUCGCAAGACCAAAGAGGGGGACCUUCGGGCCUCUUGCCAUCGGAUGUGCCCAGAUGGGAUUAGCUUGUUGGUGGGGUAACGGCUCACCAAGGCGACGAUCCCUAGCUGGUCUGAGAGGAUGACCAGCCACCCUGGAACUGAGACACGGUCCAGACUCCUACGGGAGGCAGCAGUGGGGAAUAUUGCACAAUGGGCGCAAGCCUGAUGCAGCCAUGCCGCGUGUAUGAAGAAGGCCUUCGGGUUGUAAAGUACUUUCAGCGGGGAGGAAGGGGGUAAAGUUAAUACCUUUACUCAUUGACGUUACCCGCAGAAGAAGCACCGGCUAACUCCGUG
rnacentral:rRNA from 1 species